rnacentral:rRNA from 1 species
GAUGAACGCUGGCGGCGUGCCUAAUACAUGCAAGUCGAGCGAAUGGAUUAAGAGCUUGCUCUUAUGACGUUAGCGGCGGACGGGUGAGUAACACGUGGGUAACCUGCCCAUAAGACUGGGAUAACUCCGGGAAACCGGGGCUAAUACCGGAUAACAUUUUGAACCGCAUGGUUCGAAAUUGAAAGGCGGCUUCGGCUGUCACUUAUGGCUGGACCCGCGUCGCAUUAGCUAGUUGGUGAGGUAACGGCUCACCAAGGCAACGAUGCGGAGCCGACCUGAGAUGGUGAUCGGCCACACUGGGACUGAGACACGGCCCAGACUCCUACGGGAGGCAGCAGUAGGGAAUCUUCCGCAAUGGACGAAAGUCUGACGGAGCAACGCCGCGUGAGUGAUGAAGGCUUUCGGGUCGUAAAACUCUGUUGUUAGGGAAGAACAAGUGCUAGUUGAAUAAGCUGGCACCUUGACGGUACCUAACCAGAAAGCCACGGCUAACUACGUGCCAGCAGCCGCCGUAA